UACGGGGGGGGCAAGCGUUGUUCGGAAUUACUGGGCGUAAAGGGCUCGUAGGUGGCCAACUAAGUCAGACGUGAAAUCCCUCGGCUUAACCGGGGAACUGCGUCUGAUACUGGAUGGCUUGAGGUUGGGAGAGGGAUGCGGAAUUCCAGGUGUAGCGGUGAAAUGCGUAGAUAUCUGGAAGAACACCGGUGGCGAAGGCGGCAUCCUGGACCAAUUCUGACGCUGAGUGAGCGAAAGCCAGGGGAGCAAACGGG
rnacentral:rRNA from 1 species